rnacentral:rRNA from 1 species
CAGUAGCCGCGGUAAUACGUAGGUCCCGAGCGUUGUCCGGAUUUAUUGGGCGUAAAGCGAGCGCAGGCGGUUAGAUAAGUCUGAAGUUAAAGGCUGUGGCUUAACCAUAGUACGCUUUGGAAACUGUUUAACUUGAGUGCAGAAGGGGAGAGUGGAAUUCCAUGUGUAGCGGUGAAAUGCGUAGAUAUAUGGAGGAACACCGGUGGCGAAAGCGGCUCUCUGGUCUGUAACUGACGCUGAGGCUCGAAAGCGUGGGGAGCGAACAGGAUUAGAUACCCGCGUAGUCCCUGUCUCUUAUACA